CCGCGGUAAUUCCAGCUCCAAUAGCGUAUAUUAAAGUUGUUGCAGUUAAAAAGCUCGUAGUUGAAUUUCGGGGUUAGUAGGUUGGUCAUGCCUCUGGUAUGUACUGGUCUCACUGAUUCCUCCUUCCUGAUGAGCCGUAAUGCCAUUAAUUUGGUGUUGCGGGGAAUUUGGACUGUUACUUUGAAAAAAUUAGAGUGUUUAAAGCAAGCUAACGCUUGAAUACAUUAGCAUGGAAUAAUGAAAUAGGACGUUCGAUCCUAUUUUGUUGGUUUCUAGGAUUGACGUAAUGAUUAAUAGGGAUAGUUGGGGGCAUUAGUAUUCAAUUGUCAGAGGUGAAAUUCUUGGAUUUAUUGAAGACUAACUACUGCGAAAGCAUUUGCCAAGGAUGUUUUCAUUAAUCAAGAACGAAAGUUAGGGGAUCGAAGACGAUCAGAUACCGUCGUAGUCUUAACCAUAAACUAUGCCGACUAGGGAUCGGAUGAUGUUAAUUUUU
rnacentral:rRNA from 1 species